GAGAUUUCGAUAGCGGAGAUGAGCCCCGACGAUAUCAGGGCCGAGCUCAAGAGACUUUACCUGCAACUGGAAAUGUUCAAAGCCAAAACUAUCUGCAGGGACAACCCACACAUAUCCAAAAGGCGCGGCGGCAGGAAAGCCCAGCACAGGAGGUUUAGUUUGCAGAAAAAAGGAAGUCGGGAAAAGGUAAGACGCACUAUGAGUUUGCAUGCCAGGCACAAGGACAAAGACAAACGCAAAGGAAUUG